rnacentral:rRNA from 1 species
AGUGAACGCUGGCGGUAGGCCUAACACAUGCAAGUCGAACGGCAGCACAGUAAGAGUUUGCUCUUACGGGUGGCGAGUGGCGGACGGGUGAGGAAUACAUCGGAAUCUACUUUUUCGUGGGGGAUAACGUAGGGAAACUUACGCUAAUACCGCAUACGAUCUACGGGUGAAAGCAGGGGAUCUUCGGACCUUGCGCGAUUGAAUGAGCCGAUGUCGGAUUAGCUAGUUGGCGGGGUAAAGGCCCACCAAGGCGACGAUCCGUAGCUGGUCUGAGAGGAUGAUCGGCCACACUGGAACUGAGACACGGUCCAGACUCCUACGGGAGGCAGCAGUGGGGAAUAUUGGGCAAUGGGCGCAAGCCUGAUCCAGCCAUACCGCGUGGGUGAAGAAGGCCUUCGGGUUGUAAAGCCCUUUUGUUGGGAAAGAAAAGCAGCAGGUUGAUACCCCGCUGUUCUGACGGUACCCAAAGAAUAAGCACCGGCUAACUUCGUG